rnacentral:rRNA from 1 species
CCUACGGGAGGCAGCAGUGGGGAAUUUUGGACAAUGGGCGCAAGCCUGAUCCAGCAACGCCGCGUGCAGGAUGAAGGCCUUCGGGUUGUAAACUGCUUUUGUACGGAGCGAAACGGUCUGCUUUAAUACAGUAGGCUAAUGACGGUACCGUAAGAAUAAGCACCGGCUAACUACGUGCCAGCAGCCGCGGUAAUACGUAGGGUGCUAGCGUUAAUCGGAAUUACUGGGCGUAAAGCGUGCGCAGGCGGUUAUAUAAGACAGAUGUGAAAUCCCCGGGCUCAACCUGGGACCUGCAUUUGUGACUGUAUAGCUAGAGUACGGUAGAGGGGGAUGGAAUUCCGCGUGUAGCAGUGAAAUGCGUAGAUAUGCGGAGGAACACCGAUGGCGAAGGCAAUCCCCUGGACCUGUACUGACGCUCAUGCACGAAAGCGUGGGGAGCAAACAGGAUUAGAUACCCUGGUAGUCCACGCCCUAAACGAUGUCAACUGGUUGUUGGGUCUUCACUGACUCAGUAACGAAGCUAACGCGUGNGUGACGCGNGGNGCGCGCGAGUGAGANAANAGAGUGAGNGNGAGAGNGCGAGGACGACACGAGGGAGGAGG